rnacentral:lncRNA from 1 species
CUUUUCGGCCGCGGCGCGUGACUGGGUAAGUGGGCUCGGACCUUCUGGACGCAGGAGCCGACCACGUGGCUCCGGGGCUACCCCGUGCGCUUCCUAGGCGCGCCUCUCGCUGCCCCCACGCCGAGGCCUCGGCUCGGCGCCGCGGGGAAGCCUCCGUUAGGGCCCCUCGGGGGUGGGGGCGUCCUCGUGGCGCUUGGGCCCUUCGUCCCGGGUUAGGACGGCCCGUGUCCUUGUGCGCUUGAAGGGGCCGCCCCCUUUCCUCGAGGAUCCCACCCCCACUCAGCAGAAGCCGCCAGGCGCCCGUCACCUCCCGUGCCUGAGUCCCUGCCGUCCACGCAUUCGGCCUACAGGCAGCUUUUAGUCCUUUUUCAAUUAAAUGAUUGCAUUUUGAGGAUCAAAUUCCAACCGCAGGCGGAGGCGCCGAGCCCCGGACGGUCUCUGGGUUCUUGGUGCACUCGGGGCUCCUGCCUGCCCAGGGGCUGUGACCGCGCGGACGGAAGCCUAUUUGGGAAGCGAGUGAGAUCUGAUGUCUGAAGCGCUUUAAGUUUCUAAGCGGGGCAGUAUAAUAGCGGGGUUAGCAAACACACGGAGGUCAUUUCACUCGCGCAGCCAUCCCCCACCGCCACCAGUGCCGUUCAUUUGCUACUGGCCCGCAGUCAGAUAAUUUAAAGGCUUGGAGGGACGAGUCUUGCUGGAGCCGACGCCUACAGUAAGUUGAGCGGAGUGCUGUGAGCCCUAAUAAGGGAGCCUGCUUUCCUCCCGAAGAUUCGCUUUUUUGGGAGUGGCCAGAGCGUUAUUACAGCACAGGGCCCGCUUCCAACGUUUAAUCAGGGUGUGAGGAGGCCCUUCGUGGUUUUCUGACCUGGGAAAAGUCUGAACUACUGGGUUCUUUCUGGCUUGGACCAGGACAAGGUGUUGAACGCCUAACUUAGGUCUACUAAGGUGUAGAAAUACGCAAGGCUGCCCCUAGAGAACGUUUGUCUGGGGAAUAAUGUAAGUUUUUGGAGCGGCUCUCCUGAGCAUCGCUGAGCAUACUAAUUGUUCAUUACUGGUACAAAAUGCUAUAUAAAGGGAUACUUUGCGAAUUUAGUAAAAUUGAUAAAGAUCUAAAUUUACAUUUGAGUCAACAAAUAAUCUUUGUGGCUAGCAUAGGUACCACAGUUCUGUUGGAAUGUGAAGCUCGUGGUUCACCUGUUUUCCUCAGUUGUGAAAGAUUUGCUGCCUUUUUGAUGAAACCAAAUGGGACCCAUUUUACCAUUCUUUAAUGAGGAAAGCUUGUACAUUUGCAGCCUAGGUUCUAGGCAUCUUUUAUCCAGCGUUAUAGAUAGACCCAGAGCAUGGACAAUUUUCCCUCCCUGGAAUACCUCCAGCUCUGGCGAAUAGCCCUAUAUACAGCACAGGAAGAUAGCGGUGGUAAGGCUUUGUUUUACCAUUGCUUUAGGUGUUAGAGAUUCUUAUUGAGCCCAUUUUAUUUUUAUUUUAUUUUAUUUAUUUUUUUGAGUCGGAGACUCGCUCUGUCACCCAGGCUGUGGUGCAACGGCGCAAUCUCGGCUCACUGCAACCUCUGCCUCCCGGGUUCAAGAAAUUCUCCUGCCUCAGCCUCCUGAGUAGCUGGGAUUACAGGUGCCCGCCACCAUGCCCAACUGUUUGUAUUUUUUAGUAGAGACGGGGUGUCACCUUGUUGGCCAGGCUGGUCUUGAACUCCUGAGCUGGUGAUUCGCCAGCCUCAGCCUCCCAAAGUGCUGGGAUUACAGGCGUGAGUCAGCGCACCCGGCCUGCCAAAUUGUUUUUUAACUAUUCAGUUUAAACUGUGAGAGACACCAUGUCAAGGAAGCAGUGUGAGCUAGCGUCUAAGGAUUGUGAAAACUGAGCAAGUGCCCAGAACUAGAAACUUCCCAGCCCCCUGAACUCAGCCUCAGGGCUUGGUGGAGUUUCAAGAUGCUGAUGAACUUAAGGUCUGGCGCUUGAAAGAAUCAGUGAAGCUUUUCAAGUAGAGGAGUGGUGUUUCCAGUGAAAUCUAUGGCAAGAUGGUUUGGGGUCACUAUCUACAUGAACUGCCAAGUUGGAAAAUCAAAAAUACAUCAAAAUCACUCUUGGGACAUAAGUCACGGAAGUGACUCAUGCACACAAUAAAUACCCAAGAAGCAGGACCAGACGGCAGUUGUGUAUUGGCACGCUCAUCAGUGCUGCAAAAAUUCCCCUUCUGGAUGGCAACAACAAUGCUGUAUCCACAGCAGCAUUUUAAAUCUCACCUCUGAUGUAUCCAUUGUUGUGGGCAUGAGAUGGCAGAAAGUGGGAUAUGGAAAAUGUUGCCGUGCGCCAUUCCGAAUACUACUGUGGCUUCCCUGCAGCAUUACUUUCCAUAUUGGCUGUUUUCCAUUUCAGGAAAGCUUAGGAUGUCCUUGGUAAAUACUGGCUAACCAAGAAAUUUGAAAAAUGAAAGGAGGCUGAGUAAUUGGUCUUGGGUUGAAACGGGGUGAUGCUGCAUAAACUACGUGGUUGACUCUGAAAAGCUGGCUAAAAAGCCAGUCUGCAUUCCUUGUCCUCAUUUCCUUGGAGUAAUGAAGGGUGCUUCUUAGAAGAGGGAUAGAUUCAAGUAUGGGUUGUGAGUCAUUCUUCUUUUCUGUAUGUAAUAGGUCUAACCACAGGGCCUGUUGAGCCCUGCCCUGGUGACCAAGAGCAUUUUCUGACAUGAACAGAGUUAGGCCAUCUUGCCCGUAUGAGCAGAGUUCUUCAGAUGUCCCUUAGGAUUCUAGGUUUCAUACCUUCCCUGCCACUCCCCCACUACCAAAUCCCCUUACCCUAUAGCCUAGCAAUGCAGAGUUGUCCAAUAUAGAACCUCUGUUAAACAUAGCAUCACCCAGGAAAAUGGGAUGAGUGGUUGCAGUCAGUACCACAGUUCUGCAGAAUCAACUUGCUUACCUUAGUACAUUGCCUGUCUACGUGUUUAGCAGAGCUAAAAGCAGGAAUGGACUGUUAAACUACCAUCCUUUUGUGCUCAAGUGCCAUGAAGAGAAGCAAACCUGGAGUUGAAAGUUUUCAAAGAGGGCUUCCAAGUGAGGAACUUGGGCAUGUGAAUCUUUAAUUAUGACUAUAAAAGAAAUUGUGAUUGGAAAUAGAAUUUUUAUGCUAGUGGUUAUGAUUUCAUUGAAAAUAGGAAAUCUUAUUUAAGAACUCUGGUCACAAAACCUCCCCAGAUAGUGACGUAAAUAAGACCCAGUGUAACAACUGUGGCAUUGACAUGUCAGUUCAUGUAGAUUGAGUCACAAUUUGAUUUCGAGAAUGGCCAUAUCCCAUUUUGUCUUACUCCAUGGUGUUCCUGAGCACUUGGAUACAAAUAGAUUCUGUUUCCUAAAAGUAGCCAAAUCUUUGUAGUUCAAGUGAAUAUUCCAGACUAAAAUAUGUGUCUUUUUGAAGGUCCUUAAGCCUUACAUACUUAAUUGUGUAAUUUGGCAAAUAUUUGCUGUUGUGUUGUGUCAAGUCCUGUGAUAGAGACAGUUCCUACCUUUCUGGAGCUUUCACAGUGUGACUCAUUUCAGUACGUAAGUCGGAGCCAGUUUUAAUAGAAUGUUCUCUGGUUGACUUCUGUUGUAAGGAAUAAUUUCAUUUCAUGUCUGGGUCAAUAUGUGAAAGAUUAAAUUAUUAGGGCAAACUGAAAAAAAAAAUCUAGUUUUACCCCCCCACCACCACAUUCCCAAAAUAAUUUAGCAUGGUUUAUAACAAAUAUCAAGCAACAAUAAUUAGAAGCAGAUAAAAGCUCAGCAAGUAGAGGGCAAGAAUAAAAAACCUAACUGUUAGAUCUCAUGCUGUAGGCUCCAGCCAAGUUGUCUCUGAGCUUCCUAAGAGCAAAGAGCCAACUGGCAAGUUAGUAAUCAGGCAAUUGCCAUAAUUUUCUAAUGGAGGAGGGGAGUGGUCAUGUGCAUUCUAAGCUCUUUAAAGCCGAGGAGUAAGCUUUCUUUCCUUCAUGAUCUCAAGUACUCUACUUUGAAGAAAGGAAUGGAACAGAAGGUGUCUGCAUAACUAAAUGGGGAUCUAGAGAAAGUGGAGACUGCCUCUGGAGCAGGGAGGAUUAUGCCACCAUGACUAGAAGGCCCCCUAAUGGAGUUUAUCUGCACUGCAAGGGGCCAGUUGUCUCAGAAUCAUCCUCCGUUGACAUCUCCAUCUCCAGGACAGCUCCACACUAAUCUGUUUCAAAGACAAAAUCCAGUCUAAUCAGUUUGAUGUAUGUUUCUGGGAAUAGAGCCGAAUGUUGUAGCUGAUGGAAUGGAGUCUCAUACCAUUGAUUUUGCAGCUGGACAAGUGCCCUGCCAUGUUACUGCCACUCUUUAAGGCAGAAUAGAGCACAUUGUAUCAUUUAUAGGCCUCUCACAGUGAGAAAUAUGUGGAACUUUGGAAAUCAGAAUCUAAAACUGCAGUCCAAUGGGGUAGCCACUAUUCACAUGUGCUAUUGAGUACCUAAAAUGUGGCUAGACCAAGUUGACAUGUGCUGAAGGGUGAAAAACACCAGGAGUGAAGAAUUAACUUGAAAAAAAUGUAAACUAUCUCAAUUUUAUAUUGAUUACAAAUUAAAUGAUGUUUUGAAUAUAUUGAGUUAAAUGAAAUACAUUUUUU